UUAAGCGACUAAGCGUACACGGUGGAUGCCCUGGCAGUCAGAGGCGAUGAAGGACGUGCUAAUCUGCGAUAAGCGUCGGUAAGGUGAUAUGAACCGUUAUAACCGGCGAUUUCCGAAUGGGGAAACCCAGUGUGUUUCGACACACUAUCAUUAACUGAAUCCAUAGGUUAAUGAGGCGAACCGGGGGAACUGAAACAUCUAAGUACCCCGAGGAAAAGAAAUCAACCGAGAUUCCCCCAGUAGCGGCGAGCGAACGGGGAGCAGCCCAGAGCCUGAAUCAGUGUGUGUGUUAGUGGAAGCGUCUGGAAAGGCGCGCGAUACAGGGUGACAGCCCCGUACACAAAAAUGCACAUGCUGUGAGCUCGAUGAGUAGGGCGGGACACGUGGUAUCCUGUCUGAAUAUGGGGGGACCAUCCUCCAAGGCUAAAUACUCCUGACUGACCGAUAGUGAACCAGUACCGUGAGGGAAAGGCGAAAAGAACCCCGGCGAGGGGAGUGAAAAAGAACCUGAAACCGUGUACGUACAAGCAGUGGGAGCACAGAGCAAUCUGUGUGACUGCGUACCUUUUGUAUAAUGGGUCAGCGACUUAUAUUCUGUAGCAAGGUUAACCGAAUAGGGGAGCCGAAGGGAAACCGAGUCUUAACUGGGCGUUAAGUUGCAGGGUAUAGACCCGAAACCCGGUGAUCUAGCCAUGGGCAGGUUGAAGGUUGGGUAACACUAACUGGAGGACCGAACCGACUAAUGUUGAAAAAUUAGCGGAUGACUUGUGGCUGGGGGUGAAAGGCCAAUCAAACCGGGAGAUAGCUGGUUCUCCCCGAAAGCUAUUUAGGUAGCGCCUCGUGAAUUCAUCUCCGGGGGUAGAGCACUGUUUCGGCAAGGGGGUCAUCCCGACUUACCAACCCGAUGCAAACUGCGAAUACCGGAGAAUGUUAUCACGGGAGACACACGGCGGGUGCUAACGUCCGUCGUGAAGAGGGAAACAACCCAGACCGCCAGCUAAGGUCCCAAAGUCAUGGUUAAGUGGGAAACGAUGUGGGAAGGCCCAGACAGCCAGGAUGUUGGCUUAGAAGCAGCCAUCAUUUAAAGAAAGCGUAAUAGCUCACUGGUCGAGUCGGCCUGCGCGGAAGAUGUAACGGGGCUAAACCAUGCACCGAAGCUGCGGCAGCGACGCUUAUGCGUUGUUGGGUAGGGGAGCGUUCUGUAAGCCUGCGAAGGUGUGCUGUGAGGCAUGCUGGAGGUAUCAGAAGUGCGAAUGCUGACAUAAGUAACGAUAAAGCGGGUGAAAAGCCCGCUCGCCGGAAGACCAAGGGUUCCUGUCCAACGUUAAUCGGGGCAGGGUGAGUCGACCCCUAAGGCGAGGCCGAAAGGCGUAGUCGAUGGGAAACAGGUUAAUAUUCCUGUACUUGGUGUUACUGCGAAGGGGGGACGGAGAAGGCUAUGUUGGCCGGGCGACGGUUGUCCCGGUUUAAGCGUGUAGGCUGGUUUUCCAGGCAAAUCCGGAAAAUCAAGGCUGAGGCGUGAUGACGAGGCACUACGGUGCUGAAGCAACAAAUGCCCUGCUUCCAGGAAAAGCCUCUAAGCAUCAGGUAACAUCAAAUCGUACCCCAAACCGACACAGGUGGUCAGGUAGAGAAUACCAAGGCGCUUGAGAGAACUCGGGUGAAGGAACUAGGCAAAAUGGUGCCGUAACUUCGGGAGAAGGCACGCUGAUAUGUAGGUGAAGUCCCUCGCGGAUGGAGCUGAAAUCAGUCGAAGAUACCAGCUGGCUGCAACUGUUUAUUAAAAACACAGCACUGUGCAAACACGAAAGUGGACGUAUACGGUGUGACGCCUGCCCGGUGCCGGAAGGUUAAUUGAUGGGGUCAGCGCAAGCGAAGCUCUUGAUCGAAGCCCCGGUAAACGGCGGCCGUAACUAUAACGGUCCUAAGGUAGCGAAAUUCCUUGUCGGGUAAGUUCCGACCUGCACGAAUGGCGUAAUGAUGGCCAGGCUGUCUCCACCCGAGACUCAGUGAAAUUGAACUCGCUGUGAAGAUGCAGUGUACCCGCGGCAAGACGGAAAGACCCCGUGAACCUUUACUAUAGCUUGACACUGAACAUUGAGCCUUGAUGUGUAGGAUAGGUGGGAGGCUUUGAAGUGUGGACGCCAGUCUGCAUGGAGCCGACCUUGAAAUACCACCCUUUAAUGUUUGAUGUUCUAACGUUGACCCGUGAUCCGGGUUGCGGACAGUGUCUGGUGGGUAGUUUGACUGGGGCGGUCUCCUCCUAAAGAGUAACGGAGGAGCACGAAGGUUGGCUAAUCCUGGUCGGACAUCAGGAGGUUAGUGCAAUGGCAUAAGCCAGCUUGACUGCGAGCGUGACGGCGCGAGCAGGUGCGAAAGCAGGUCAUAGUGAUCCGGUGGUUCUGAAUGGAAGGGCCAUCGCUCAACGGAUAAAAGGUACUCCGGGGAUAACAGGCUGAUACCGCCCAAGAGUUCAUAUCGACGGCGGUGUUUGGCACCUCGAUGUCGGCUCAUCACAUCCUGGGGCUGAAGUAGGUCCCAAGGGUAUGGCUGUUCGCCAUUUAAAGUGGUACGCGAGCUGGGUUUAGAACGUCGUGAGACAGUUCGGUCCCUAUCUGCCGUGGGCGCUGGAGAACUGAGGGGGGCUGCUCCUAGUACGAGAGGACCGGAGUGGACGCAUCACUGGUGUUCGGGUUGUCAUGCCAAUGGCACUGCCCGGUAGCUAAAUGCGGAAGAGAUAAGUGCUGAAAGCAUCUAAGCACGAAACUUGCCCCGAGAUGAGUUCUCCCUGACUCCUUGAGAGUCCUGAAGGAACGUUGAAGACGACGACGUUGAUAGGCCGGGUGUGUAAGCGCAGCGAUGCGUUGAGCUAACCGGUACUAAUGAACCGUGAGGCUUAACCUU
rnacentral:rRNA from 2 species